rnacentral:lncRNA from 1 species
UAUAUUAUGUGAUGCUGAAGUUUGGGGUAUGAUUGAACCCAUCACCCAGGAAGUCAGCAUAGUGCUCAACAGUUAGUUUUUCACCUCUUGCCACCCUCCAGGGGAAAACCUCCCUUCCAGUAGUCCCCACUCUCAUUUGUUGCCAUCUUUAUGGUAAUUCUAAGCAACAUCACUGAUAAACAGUCCUGUCUUUAAAGGCUUCUACUAGUCUAAGUUCUAAAUAAUUGCACAGAUUACUAUCGAUUUUCAAUAACAUAUUACUUAAGUCACAAAUUAGCACAUUUGAAUUACUUGUUCUUUAAUAAAUGUUGUAAUCUUCAUAA